CGAACGCUGGCGGCAGGCCUAAUACAUGCAAGUCGAACGGCUCUUCGGAGCAGUGGCGGACGGGUGAGUAACGCGUGGGGAUGUGCCCUUAGGUACGGAACAACACAGGGAAACUUGUGCUAAUACCGUAUGUGCCCUUCGGGGGAAAGAUUUAUCGCCUUUGGAGCAGCCCGCGUUGGAUUAGGUAGUUGGUGAGGUAAAGGCUCACCAAGCCGACGAUCCAUAGCUGGUCUGAGAGGAUGAUCAGCCACACUGGGACUGAGACACGGCCCAGACUCCUACGGGAGGCAGCAGUAGGGAAUCUUGCGCAAUGGGCGAAAGCCUGACGCAGCCAUGCCGCGUGUAUGAUGAAGGUCUUAGGAUUGUAAAAUACUUUCACCGGGGAAGAUAAUGACGGUACCCGGAGAAGAAGCCCCGGCUAACUUCGUGCCAGCCGCCGCGGUAAGAC
rnacentral:rRNA from 1 species